ACGAACGCUGCGCGUGCUUAACACAUGCAAGUCGAUCGGAAUCCAUGGUGUAGCAAUACACCGGAAGAUUUAGCGGCGAACGGGUGAGGAUCACGUGAGAAACGUGCCCCAGACUCUGGGAUAACAAUUGGAAACGAUUGCUAAUACCGGAUGACGUCGGAGAAUCGCAUGAUUCACUGACGAAAGAUAUUUCGGUUUGGGAGCGUCUCGCGGCCUAUCAGCUUGUUGGUGGGGUAAUGGCCUACCAAGGCAACGACGGGUAGCUGGUCUGAGAGGAUGAUCAGCCACACUGGGACUGAGACACGGCCCAGACUCCUACGGGAGGCAGCAGUGGGGAAUCUUGCGCAAUGGGCGAAAGCCUGACGCAGCAACGCCGCGUGCGGGAUGAAGGCCUUCGGGCUGUAAACCGCUUUCAGCAGGAACGAAAAUGACGGUACCUGCAGAGGAGGA
rnacentral:rRNA from 1 species